UACGAAGGGGGCUAGCGUUGCUCGGAAUCACUGGGCGUAAAGGGUGCGUAGGCGGGUCUUUAAGUCAGGGGUGAAAUCCUGGAGCUCAACUCCAGAACUGCCUUUGAUACUGAGGAUCUUGAGUAUGGGAGAGGUGAGUGGAACUGCGAGUGUAGAGGUGAAAUUCGUAGAUAUUCGCAAGAACACCAGUGGCGAAGGCGGCUCACUGGCCC
rnacentral:rRNA from 1 species